rnacentral:rRNA from 1 species
UACGUAGGGUGCAAGCGUUGUCCGGAAUUACUGGGCGUAAAGGGCGCGUAGGCGGCCUGCUAAGUCGAACGUGAAAUCCCUGGGCUCAACCCAGGAACUGCGUCCGAUACUGGUUGGCUUGUAUCCGGGAGAGGGAUGUGGAAUUCCAGGUGUAGCGGUGAAAUGCGUAGAUAUCUGGAGGAACACCGGUGGCGAAGGCGACAUCCUGGACCGGUAUUGACGCUGAGGCGCGAAAGCCAGGGGAGCAAACGGG